CACAUGCAAGUCGGACGGGUUCCGGGUAGCAAUAUCCGGGACCAGUGGCGAACGGGUGAGUAACACGUGGGUAACCUGCCCUCGAGUGGGGAAUAAGCUCCCGAAAGGGGGUCUAAUACCGCAUAACGUUUCGUGGCGAUGGCCAUGAAACCAAAGCCCAAAAGGCGCUCGAGGAGGGGCCUGCGUCCUAUCAGCUAGUUGGUAGGGUAACGGCCUACCAAGGCUACGACGGGUAGCCGGCCUGAGAGGGUGUCCGGCCACACUGGGACUGAGACACGGCCCAGACUCCUACGGGAGGCAGCAGUGGGGAAUUUUGCGCAAUGGGGGAAACCCUGACGCAGCGACGCCGCGUGGAGGAUGACGGCCUUCGGGUUGUAAACUCCUGUCAGAGGGGACGAAAUCCCGCAAGGGACUGACGGUACCCUCAGAGGAAGCCCCGGCUAACUACGUGCCAGCAGCCGCGGUAAUACGUAGGGGGCAAGCGUUACUCGGAAUUACUGGGCGUAAAGGGUGAGUAGGCGGCUGGGCAAGUCAAGGAUGAAAUCCCGAGGCUCAACU
rnacentral:rRNA from 1 species